rnacentral:rRNA from 1 species
UGGGGAAUUUUGUGCAAUGGGCGAAAGCCUGACGCAGCAACGCCGCGUGUGUGAUGAAGGUCUUCGGAUUGUAAAGCACUUUCGACCGGGACGAAAACCCGUUGGUUAACAUCCAACGGCUUGACGGUACCGGGAGAAGAAGCACCGGCUAACUCUGUGCCAGCAGCCGCGGUAAUACAGAGGGUGCAAGCGUUGUUCGGAAUUAUUGGGCGUAAAGCGCGUGUAGGCGGCUUUGCAAGUCGGGUGUGAAAGCCCUCAGCUCAACUGAGGAAGUGCGCCCGAAACUGCAGAGCUUGAGUGCCGGAGAGGGUGGCGGAAUUCCCCAAGUAGAGGUGAAAUUCGUAGAUAUGGGGAGGAACACCGGUGGCGAAGGCGGCCACCUGGACGGUAACUGACGCUGAGACGCGAAAGCGUGGGGAGCAAACAGGAUUAGAUACCCUGGUAGUCCACGCCGUAAACGAUGAUAACUAGGUGUC